CUUAGACAUUAGAAGCUUAGAGUUUGCCUGUAGAAGAUAGGUGAGAAGAAGCUUCAUGUUGGAUGAAUUCCAGGAGACUCAAGUUCAGCAGAAAAUACAGCCUUGGGUGGUUUGAAUAAGCCCAAGAUUUGACAGAGGUAGGCCACAGAUCAGAUAUAUAAAGCCACUGAGAAGAAACCUCAUAUUGGGCAGAGAUGUUCUGCUUUGCAUAAAGCAAAGAUUAGGGAGGAGAAGCCCCAGACUGGGUAGAAGAAGCCUGAGUGGGAGGGGUCACAGGCUGCACUGAUGGUGAAGAUGGAAGUUCUGUUGAAGGUGUUAAAAGGCUGUUGGUUAAAACUGUUUCUCAGAAGGAUGAUUAAAUAUUUUCACAUCUCAUAGCCACAGUAGAGUUAAUAAAUAACUGAAAUAUUCACUAAUUCCGCACAUUCUCAUUAAUCUUUCUCUCUUCAAACCUUCAUCGUGAAAUGUAAAGAAUACGGUGUCCAGGAUGUUCAUGGAUUCAGUGAACAAGUAAGGUUUUGUUCCAGAAGGUUGUGAGAUCAAAUCCCAGAGACAUACUGACUCUUCUGUUAUCAAUGACGAGUGAUCGUUAUGACUCACGAUUCGACUCUUCAGCACAAAUCUGGACAGUGUUUCAAACAUAAUAAUAAACCUGACAGGAUAUACUCAGAUUUAUUUAUCAGACAUGUGAGUGUUAAUGCAGGUGUCUGAGAGUGUCAGAUGUUCAGAAGUGAAGACAGAAGUAAUAAGGCACUUUGCAUACACACUGAAUGUUCACUGUUCAUGUUUCCCAUGAUUUAUUCCAGUUUAUCUUUAGUGGCCUACGUAACUGACAGAGCCGGUCAUUUAUACAAACAAAAUACACUCAGUUCCACUGUGUCACAGGAAACAGUGCUAAAGUUAUUCAGUGGGAUUUUCUCUUUCACAUAACGCAGAUGUUUCCUGUUACAUGCACUUCCCUUUAAACUUGUACACAGAACAGCUAAAACACACACACGUAUAAAAACACACACACGUAUAAAAACACACACACGUAUAUUAAAAUACAACCGAAAUCUCAAUGUGGUAAGAGCUGAUAUUGUCAUUACAGAGCUUCUUAUGAUUUAUAAAAGAAUAUAUACAGUGUUUAAGACACACAUACACACACACACGUAUCACUGUGUUUAUGACGGUGUUCCACAUGAAGAAUUAAUGGCUAUGUGGUCUCAUUCAGAGUGAAGAGAAUGACAGCACAGGCACCCGUGUAUAAUGUGUGAAGAGUGUGUGACGUGAGAAGUUUGUGUGAAGUGUGUGACGUGUGAAGCGGGUGUGACGUGUGAAACAUGUAUGACGUGAGAAGCGUGUGUGAUGUUUAUGAUGUGUGUGACGUGUGAAACAUGUAUGACGUGAGAAGCGUGUGUGAUGUUUAUGAUGUGUGUGACGUGAGAAGUGUGUGUGACGUGAGAAGCGUGUGUGAUGUUUAUGAUGUGUGUGACGUGGAAGCCGUGUGUGACGUGAGAAGCGUGUGUUAUGUGAGUCGAUUGAAAGGCUCGCUCUGAGCUGGCUCCAUGUUGAUGAAGAUGAACAUUAGGACACCAGCUACGAUGAGGAAGAACACAAUCUGCAACCACAGAGGGACGAAUUGUCCUGAACCCUGCGUCCUCUCCUGCGUCCUCUCCUGCGUCCUCUCCUGCGUCCUCUCCUGUCUCACUGCUGUGUAGUUCCCCUGGGUCACAGUGUAGUACUGAGACACCAUGGGCCUGGAACAGAUAAACACCUGGAGAUAUUUAUAUAAUCAAUCCCAAAACCACUGAUUAUGACUUUAUCUCAGUACCACAAUUACAAAUCACAGGGAGAGAGAGAUACUCACUCAUUCCCAAUGUCCACCUCUCUGUCCUUAGUGCUGAACAUGGCGUUUCCCCUGAACGGUAAUGACACUGAACAUCAGUACGGGUAACGACACUGAACAUCAGCACUGAACAUCAGUACGGCUAAUAAGUCACUUUCAGAACAUUAACAACAAAACAGAAGUGGAAAUGAAAGCCAGUUACCUACUGCUGAAAGCGUCGUGUCCCCACUAGAGAAAGGAGAAAAUACUCACUGCUGUAACAUAUAUACAAGUGUUUAAUACAGUGCUGUGAAAAAGUAUUUGCCCCCUUAUUUAUUUCUUCUGUUUUUGUGUGCAUCUCAUACUAAAGUUUUAGAUCUUCAAACGAAAUACAACAUAAAACCUGAGUAAAAACAUAAUACAGUUUUUAUUUUAUUUAUUUUAUUGAAGCAUAAAAGUUACCCAACACCUAUUACACAUGUGAAAAAUGAAUUGCCCCCUUAAACUGAAAAUCUGGUUGUGCCACCUUUAGCAGAAUUCAUGUUUCCCUCAAUUACUGCAAGUUGCCCAGGCACUGAAGCAGCAGAGCAUCACUACACCAUCACACUUCCUCCACCAUGCUUGACCAUAGGUGUGAUGAUCUUUUUGUGUAAUUCUGUUUGGUUUAUGCCAGAUGUAAUGGGACCCCUGUCUUCCAAACAGUUCCACUUACCACUCAUCAAUCCAUAGAACAUUCUCCCAAAAGGUUUGAGGAUCAUCAAGGUGUGUUUUGGUGAAAUUCAGACGAGUCUUAAUGUUCUUCUGGGUUAGCAGUGGUUUUCUCCUCACCACUCUUCCAUGGAGCCAUUUUCCCCCAGUGUCUUUCUGAUAGUGGAGUCAUGAACAGUAACCUUUCUUGAUGUAAGAGAGGCCUGUAGGUCCUUUGAUGUUGUCCUUGGCUCUUUAGUGACUUCCUGGAUGAGUUGUCGCUGUGCUCUUGGAGGAAUUUUGAAGGUCGGACACUUCUGGGUAGGUUCUCUACUGUGCCAAGUUUUUCCAUUUGGAGAUAACGGCUCUCGCUGUGGUUCUCUGGAGUCCCAGAGCCUCUGAAAUAGCUUUGUAACCCUUCCCAGAGUGAUGUAUUUCAAUCACCUUCUUCCUUAUCAUUUCUGGAAUUUCUUUCAGCUUUGGUGUAGUGUGUUACUGGGUAAGAUCUUUAAACCAACUUCAUGCUGUUGAAAAAGUUCUAUGUAAGUGUAGAUGUGAUUGAACAGGGUUUGCAGUAAUCAGGUCUGGUUGUGUCUCGUCCAGCUGAACACCAUUAUCAAUGCAGUUUCAUAGAUUUGGGGAAUUAGUACUAAGGGGGCAAAUACAUUUUCACACACACAAUAAAUAACAUUAUCGUUUAAAAACUGUAUUUUGUGUUUCAGAUCGCCUUUGUUUUAUCUUAGAUUUUGUUUUAAUUUCUGACACAAUUUAGUAUGAGAUCUACACAAACACAGAAGAGAUCAUGAUAUUUAUUACAGGAUAAAAUACUUUUUCGCAGCACUGUAAGUACUAUUUAACAUUCAUGUAUACAUUUAUCAGUGAGAUAAAAUGAGGUUCAUUAAAGACUCACAGGUCUGCGCUGGUGAACGUACAGGUCUUCAUCCUCUUUACAGAAAAACAACACAAAAUUUAUUUGUGACAUCAUCAAGAGUCUGCAGAUAUAAUAAUAAUAAUAAUAAUAAUAAUAAUAAUAAUAGCAGUAGUAUGGUGAUGAUGAUCAUUAUUUUUAUUCCCCCACAGGACGUACGUUGUUCUCUGUAGGCAACUCGCUCUGAUGUUCCUCUCAUUUUCCUCUCUUUAGCAAUCACAUCUCUCAGCUUCUUCUCAUACAGAGAUCUGGUGGAACCUGAAUCACAAUCAUCACGUCACACACACCAACAAUAAACACCACUCAUCACACCGGAGUAGUGUAUACUGAGACUCACCGACCACAGGACCGUGUUUAAUCCCGUAAUCGUCCAGCAUCCAGCCGAUCUCCUGGUCACUUUUACUGCUCAACAUCUCUCACAGCCUUUAACAGCAACUGGAGCUCCAACACCUGCACAGAGGAACAUGAAAGAAGGUCAUGUGUUAGUGUGGAGCUCUUGCUGAGAGGAGACCAGACCACAGGCACGUCAUUCACUCAUCACCAGGGGUGUAACUCGGCCUGGGCAUUGAGGGCUGUAGCCCUGAAGAUUUUCUCUUUAUCUCUGAAUAAUUCUCCACUCGGAGCGGUUCGUCACGACGUAACUGAACGUCAGUAAAAGAAGACGUCUGUAAUGUUAUAUCUUCAGUGAACGGAGGCGAGACCAAUCAGACAGCGUUUACAGGAAAUACGUGGAAAUACUCGCGUCUUAUUGGCCGACGGUCUCUCGGUUCUCCUGAACGCUAGCUCACAGUCAGUGUGAGGGAAAAUGGAUAUACGGCGAGUUUUAUUUAUUUAAAGCAGUAAAGGAGUUGAAACUGAAACAGAAACAUCCCCUGAAGCUGAGCAGGAGAACAAGGCGCGUAAACGUCCAUGAGUUCCAGUUCACGUGAACAUGACGUGAGCAGAGCAGAAGGAAAGAUAAAGAUAAGGACAUUCACUCAAAGAUUUAUUUGUAAAUUAAACUAAUAAUUAGUGAUUUUAAAUUCUUUUGUAUGAUUUAAAUCUUUAAUUCUUUAUUAUUUAUGUAAACUGAUAUUUAAUGUUUUUUAACAGUAUCAGAGCAGACAUUUAUUACAUUUUCACAAAUUGUCAUUUAAAAUCUUAUUGUUUCACCUUUACACACAUUUACAGACUAAAAUCUAAUCGUUAAUAAACCCGCUUUCACCUUUUAAUCUCUGAACAUAAGACUAAAGGAACACACAACUCUAACAAACACAUUUAAUGAACUUUAAUAAAACUCGUGUUAUUUAUCAAAACUUUGAGAACUUAAGACACUUAAUUUAAGAUUAUUUAUAUAAUUUAAAUAAUAA
ensembl:lncRNA